AGGCUUGAUCCAUCAGCUGUCCAUCGGUACCAUCUAUUGAGUGCCUGAUGGAUAUUCCAAAGUGUCACUAGGUACCAGCCACCAUCUGUGGUGAAAAGUGGGGAUUCUCCUUCUGAGGAAUCCUGAGGUCAGUAGCAGCCCAAAGCUGCAUUGCAAUGCUGCGUUGUGUACUCUGCCUCAUCUCACAUCAUCAAAGAAGUUCUUCUUAACACAGCAGCCAGAGUGAUCCUCCAGAAUGACACAGGUUCUGAGUACAUGGGUGAAAGCGGGAAGACCAGUCAGAAAAGUGUUGCAACAAUCCAGAUCAGAGAAUCCCAUCCAGGAUAGCAUAUUGCACAUUAGGAUUCUCUAGACCAAGACAAGAAGUCUUGACGGGAUUCCUGGAAGGAAGAUGACAGAUGCUUUUCUCAUCACAUCAUAUCAAGAUAUCAAAUAAAUCCAUGUUGGAACAAGUAAAUCCAUGUUGGAAUCUUCCCCUUCUUCAUCCCCUGAUGGUUAAUAGGGACUGGUCACAGGCACUAACAGAUGUUUCCUUCUAAUCAAUAGGCCUUUAAUCAUCUCUCUGGAGGGACAAUGUGGCUAGGACACAAAGGGAGGAGAUUAAAGUGAAGAGGAAGAAGAUGUGAGGAUCACGACAGAUGAUCUAACUUCUUUGUGUGAACUUCAUCUUCAGUCUCCUCUUCUGUGAAAUGGGGAUCAUUCUAUUAGCAACCUCACGGUUUUGGAGUAAGAAUUAAAGGCUAUCUUGUCUCUAGAGAUCUGCAUUUCAACAGAGAUCAAACUUUAUUGAGAAGGAGUAGAAGAGCCCAGGUGCGUCUCUCCAGUGUCACAAAUCAUGUAGUCAUCAAUUACCUGAGACCGAAGUGGAGACGUACAUCUGGGAUUAUGGAAGAUAAAUGUGUAUUCUACAUAUAUACAUUUUGAAGUACA